rnacentral:rRNA from 1 species
CGGAGCAACGCCGCGUGAGCGAUGAAGGCCUUCGGGUCGUAAAGCUCUGUUGUCAGGGAAGAACAAGUACCGGAGUAACUGCCGGUACCUUGACGGUACCUGACCAGAAAGCCACGGCUAACUACGUGCCAGCAGCCGCGGUAAUACGUAGGUGGCAAGCGUUGUCCGGAAUUAUUGGGCGUAAAGCGCGCGCAGGCGGUUCCUUAAGUCUGAUGUGAAAGCCCCCGGCUCAACCGGGGAGGGUCAUUGGAAACUGGGGAACUUGAGUGCAGAAGAGGAGAGCGGAAUUCCACGUGUAGCGGUGAAAUGCGUAGAGAUGUGGAGGAACACCAGUGGCGAAGGCGGCUCUCUGGUCUGUAACUGACGCUGAGGCGCGAAAGCGUGGGGAGCGAACAGGAUUAGAUACCCUGGUAGUCCACGCCGUAAACGAUGAGUGCUAAGUGUUAGAGGGUUUCCGCCCUUUAGUGCUGCAGCAAACGCA